UUGACCUCUGACCUCAAAUCAGGUAGGAUUACCCGCUGAACUUAAGCAUAUCAAUAAACCGAAAAAAAG
rnacentral:rRNA from 1 species